AUGAAGUCAUUCGUUUAUUACGGAUGUCAAGUUUUCUUAGUCCAUGUUAUGGAUUUGAAUAAAGACACGUCAGAUUUGAAUAAUAUUCCUGUUGUUAUUGAUUUUUCCUGACGUAUUUCCUGAAGAAUUUCUUGGCCUACUCCCAGAGCGUGAUAUUGAAUUUGUAUCGACUUUAAAUCCGGUACAAAACCCAUUUCUAAAAUCUCAUAUCGAAUGGCUCCUAUUGAACUUCAGGAGUUAAAAACCCAACUGUAGAAGUUGAUACCCGAG
rnacentral:lncRNA from 1 species